UACGUAGGGGGCGAGCGUUGUCCGGAUUUAUUGGGCGUAAAGAGCGUGUAGGCGGCCAGGUAGGUCUGCUGUGAAAACUCGAGGCUCAACCUCGAGACGUCGGCGGAAACCAUCUGGCUAGAGUCCGGAAGAGGAGAGUGGAACUCCUGGUGUAGCGGUGGAAUGCGCAGAUAUCAGGAAGAACACCGACGGCGAAGGCAGCUCGCUGGGACGGUACUGACGCUGAGGCGCGAAAGCGUGGGGAGCGAACAGG
rnacentral:rRNA from 1 species